GAUGAAGAACGCAGCGAAAUGCGAUAAGUAAUGUGAAUUGCAGAAUUCAGUGAAUCAUCGAGUCUUUGAACGCACAUUGCGCCCCCUGGUAUUCCGGGGGGCAUGCCUGUCCGAGCGUCAUUGCUGCCCUCAAGCACGGCUUGUGUGUUGGGCCCCCGUCCCCGGUUUCCCCCGGGGACGGGCCCGAAAGGCAGCGGCGGCACCGCGUCCGGUCCUCGAGCGUAUGGGGCUUUGUCACCCGCUCUGUAGGCCCGGCCGGCGCCAGCCGACACCCAACUUUAUUUCUAAGGUUGACCUCGGAUCAGGUAGGGAUACCCGCUGAACUUAAGCAUAUCAAUAACGGAGGA
rnacentral:misc_RNA from 1 species